UACGUAGGGGGCAAGCGUUAUCCGGAAUUAUUGGGCGUAAAGAGCUCGUAGGCGGUUUGCCGCGUCUGCUGUGAAAACCCGAGGCUCAACCUCGGGCCUGCAGUGGGUACGGGCAGACUAGAGUGCGGUAGGGGAGAUUGGAAUUCCCGGUGUAGCGGUGAAAUGCGUAGAUAUCGAGAGGAACACCUGCGGCGAAGGCGGGUUGCUGGGCCGACACUGACGCUGAGGCGCGAAAGCUAGGGGAGCGAACGGG
rnacentral:rRNA from 1 species